rnacentral:rRNA from 1 species
CCUACGGGCGACAGCAGUGAGGAAUAUUGGUCAAUGGCCGCAAGCCUGAACCAGCCAAGUCGCGUGAAGGAAGAAGGAUCUAUGGUUUGUAAACCUCUUUUAUAGGGGAAUAAAGGUCUCCACGUGUGGAUAUUUUCAUGUACCCUAUGACUAAGCAUCGGCUAACUCCGUGCCAGCAGCCGCGGUAAUACGGAGGAUGCGAGCGUUAUCCGGAUUUAUUGGGUUUAAAGGGGGCGGAGAUGGGUUGUUAAGUCAGUUGUGAAAGUUUGUGGCUCAACCGUAGAAUUGCAAUUGAUACUGGUAGGCUUGAGUACAGUUGAGGUAGGCGGAAUGCGUGGUGUAGCGGUGAAAUGCAUAGAUAUCACGAAGAACUCCGAUUGCGAAGGCAGCCUACUAAGCUGCGACUGACACUGAUGCUCGAAAGUGUGGGUAUCGAACAGGAUUAGAUACCCCGGUAGUC